rnacentral:rRNA from 1 species
CUACGGGAGGCAGCAGUGAGGAAUAUUGUACAAUGGGGGGAACCCUGAUGCAGCAACGCCGCGUGGAGGAUGACGCAUUUCGGUGUGUAAACUCCUUUUAUAUGUCAAGAAAAUGACGGUAGCAUAUGAAUAAGCACCGGCUAACUCCGUGCCAGCAGCCGCGGUAAUACGGAGGGUGCAAGCGUUACUCGGAAUCACUGGGCGUAAAGGACGUGUAGGCGGGUUGGAAAGUCAGGUGUGAAAUCCUACAGCUUAACUGUAGAACUGCACUUGAAACUUCUAAUCUAGAGUAUGGGAGGGGGAGAUGGAAUUAGUGGUGUAGGGGUAAAAUCCGUAGAUAUCACUAGGAAUACCUAAAGCGAAGGCGAUCUCCUGGAACAUUACUGACGCUAAGGCGUGAAAGCGUGAGGAGCAAACAGGAUUAGAUACCCUCGUAGUC